rnacentral:lncRNA from 1 species
UUAUCAAUUGAUUGACAUAAAAUUAAGUGCCAAAAUGCACAAGCAGGCAGGCAAACAGCUGUGCACCAACAAAGAUUAAGACUUGCUAAUCAAGAAUUUAUUACAAUGGGUGCUCUUUAGUGCAGAGACGCAAUAUCAUUUUGGAUUCUGGCUGAUUUAAUUUAUUUUUACCAAUGCAUCAUUAUUUUAUUUUAUUUUCUUUUUCUUUUUUGAUGUAGGUCGAUAUUUCCCUUUCGAGCAUCGAGGGUUUGAUUGAUGUGUGAUAGUGUUUUUUAGGGAGAAAAACAUGGGAUAAUUAAUGAGGUUGUAGUAAACUUGUUUUUGUAGUGAGAGAAGAUUGUGCACAUGGGGAUGGGGUCAUGAGCAGACACAAGCAGUGGUCGUUUAUAAAUGCGUGGUAGACUGGACUAUGAUUUCAUUACUUCAAAUAUGUAUAUAACAAUGCUUUGGGAUUUUUUUUGUGCGCAUUUAAGAUUAUACUGUUUUGGGUUGCAGAGAGUGGCAUAAUGCAAAGCUCCA